CCUACGGGUGGCAGCAGUGAGGAAUAUUGGUCAAUGGGCGGGAGCCUGAACCAGCAAAGUCGCGUGAGGGACGACGGUCCUAUGAAUUGUAAACCUCUUUUGUCGGGGAACAAACGCGCCCACGGGUGGGCGGAUGAGUGUACCCGAAGAAAAAACAUCGGCUAACUCCGUUCCAGCAGCCGCGGUAAUACGGGGGAUGCGAGCGUUAUCCGGAUUUAUUGGGUUAAAAGGGUGCGUAGGCGGACAGUCAAUGCAGCGGUAAAAAUGCGGUGCUCAAAGCCGUACAGCCGUUGAAACUGGCAGUCUUGAGUGGGCGAGAAGUAUGCGGAAUGCGUGGUGUAGGGGUGAAAUGCAGAGAUAUCACGAAGAACUCCGAUUGCGAAGGCAGCAUACUGGCGCCCGACUGACGCUGAGGCACGAAAGCGUGGGUAUCGAACAGGAUUAGAUACCCCAGUAGUC
rnacentral:rRNA from 1 species